CAGCAGCCGCGGUAAUACGUAGGGUGCGAGCGUUAAUCGGAAUUACUGGGCGUAAAGCGUGCGCAGGCGGUUGUGUAAGGCAGGUGUGAAAUCCCCGGGCUUAACCUGGGAACUGCGCUUGUGACUGCACAGCUAGAGUAUGGCAGAGGGGGGUGGAAUUCCACGUGUAGCAGUGAAAUGCGUAGAGAUGUGGAGGAACACCGAUGGCGAAGGCAGCCCCCUGGGCCAAUACUGACGCUCAUGCACGAAAGCGUGGGGAGCAAACAGGAUUAGAUACCCGCGUAGUCCCUGUCUCUUAUAC
rnacentral:rRNA from 1 species